ACCUGGUUGGCUCAGUCAGUAGAGCAUGGGACUCUUGAUCUCCAGGUCAUGAGUUCAAGCCCCAUGUUGGGCA
rnacentral:tRNA from 1 species